AGCGAACGCUGGCGGCAGGCCUAACACAUGCAAGUCGAACGAACUCUUCGGAGUUAGUGGCGGACGGGUGAGUAACACGUGGGAACGUGCCUUUAGGUUCGGAAUAACUCAGGGAAACUUGUGCUAAUACCGAAUGUGCCCUUCGGGGGAAAGAUUUAUCGCCUUUAGAGCGGCCCGCGUCUGAUUAGCUAGUUGGUGAGGUAAAGGCUCACCAAGGCGACGAUCAGUAGCUGGUCUGAGAGGAUGACCAGCCACAUUGGGACUGAGACACGGCCCAAACUCCUACGGGAGGCAGCAGUGGGGAAUCUUGCGCAAUGGGCGAAAGCCUGGCGCAGCCAUGCCGCGUGGAUGAUGAAGGUCUUAGGAUUGUAAAAUCCUUUCACCGGUGAAGAUAAUGACUGUAGCCGGAGAAGAAGCCCCGGCUAACUUCGUGCCAGCAGCCGCCGUAAAAC
rnacentral:rRNA from 1 species